rnacentral:tRNA from 2 species
GGCGGGGUAGCUCAGUUGGUUAGAGCGUCGGAAUCAUAAUCCGAAGGUCCCUGGUUCAAAUCCUGGCCCCGCUACCA